rnacentral:sRNA from 1 species
GCGAGACACGUUGUCCACCGGCCGGAGCCGACCGAUAAACUGGUCCAGGACCGUACCGGGCGCAGCUCCCGGGCCCGUCCGCCAAUGAUCAGCCAGCAGCCGCUGCAACCCCAGGGAG